UCACUGCUCCUUCAUGGUGUUCCUGAAAUAGAAGUCAAGCCCUUGAGUGGUCUCAGUCCCCUGUGGUUUGCUGAACUGGGUUCCUUGGACCUGGACACUGAGUAACAACAACGCCUCUACAGGAAUCUCACAGGAAGAAUAUCUUGAGCCAAAGGAGUUUGAGAAAACAUUCUGACUUCCCCUCCCCUGAAAGCAGGAGAUAAAUCUGUGUGAGAGGUGCCCUCUCUGUACCAGGAGGAAGGCAGACGUGGAUUUAGGCCCGAGAAGGCUCUAUAAACGAACCUGGUUACUUCCUCACCCUUUCCUAGCCCUAGCCCGAAACCCUCUGCCUCGUCAACUCUUCACACAGUUAUUGUUUCUUUGUCAAAGAGGCGUAAAAGCUUCCUGCUCUGGUCACUCCUCGGGGGUCUUCGUUCUCCUGUGAGGGCUCCUGUGGACACGCAACACUUGAAUAAAACGCGGAUGCUUUUCUCCUGUGA